AUGCUACUUAGCAACCGUAGAGGGGUAGAACUAACUGCAAUCUAGGUCCUACUGACAAGGGAUGGACUGAGCCGACAGGGAAGGGCUGCUGCAUUCACAGGCCUAGAGGAUCCCUUCCCCAGGAAUCCCCAGCCUCUGUUGGGUUGAUAUCAGUGGGACUGCUCACAAAUGUCAGCUCAUCUGAAAAUACGCCUUCUGCUGCUGCCUCUUAAAGGAAGUUUGCAGUCUAAGAACCGAGAUCCUGGGACACUGGAGCAUGACUAAAAACAGCCAGAGAGGGAAUCUGGAGGAUGUCUUCCAAGAGGGAGUUCAGAAACAGAGUCCUCAAUGGGUAAAAUGUAGCCUGCACUCUUGUGGAACCUAGGAACCAAACACUGAUGACCAUGAAUUACAGUCACAUAGUAUGGCAGGCUGGUGGGGAAGCCGUAGACCUGUCUUCUUCUCAUGGUUUGCCAGGUUGCAAGGAUCUGUCCUGCACUCUGCUGAGCGUAUUAUAGGGAUGGCAAAUGAACCUGGUUCUUGUGCAGGAGGUCUCUAUCCAUCUCCUUAUUUGGCCCCCAUUGUGGUCAUGUCUGA
rnacentral:lncRNA from 1 species